rnacentral:rRNA from 1 species
AUUGAACGCUGGCGGCAUGCUUUACACAUGCAAGUCGAACGGCAGCGCGGGCUUCGGCCUGGCGGCGAGUGGCGAACGGGUGAGUAAUACAUCGGAACGUGCCCAGUAGUGGGGGAUAGCUCGGCGAAAGCCGGAUUAAUACCGCAUACGACCUGAGGGUGAAAGCGGGGGAUCUUCGGACCUCGCGCUAUUGGAGCGGCCGAUGGCAGAUUAGCUUGUUGGUGGGGUAAAGGCCUACCAAGGCGACGAUCUGUAGCAGGUCUGAGAGGACGACCAGCCACACUGGGACUGAGACACGGCCCAGACUCCUACGGGAGGCAGCAGUGGGGAAUUUUGGACAAUGGGCGAAAGCCUGAUCCAGCAAUGCCGCGUGUGUGAUGAAGGCCUUCGGGUUGUAAAGCACUUUUGGCGGGAACGAAAAGGACUGUGCCAAUACCACGGUUCGAUGACGGUACCCGCAGAAUAAGCACCGGCUAACUACGUG